rnacentral:rRNA from 1 species
UACGUAGGGUGCAAGCGUUGUCCGGAAUUAUUGGGCGUAAAGAGCUCGUAGGCGGCUUGUCGCGUCUGCCGUGAAAACCCAGGGCUCAACCCUGGGCGUGCGGUGGGUACGGGCAGGCUAGAGUGCGGUAGGGGAGAUUGGAAUUCCUGGUGUAGCGGUGGAAUGCGCAGAUAUCAGGAGGAACACCGAUGGCGAAGGCAGAUCUCUGGGCCGCUACUGACGCUGAGGAGCGAAAGCAUGGGGGAGCGAACAGGAUUAGA